rnacentral:lncRNA from 1 species
AACCCUGUCUCUACUAAAAAUACAAAAAUUAGCCGGGUGGUAGUGGCAUGUGCCUGUAAUCCCAGCUACUCGGGAGGUUGAGGCAGAAGAAUCGCUUGAGCCUGGGAGGUAGAGGUUGUGGUGAGCCAAGAUUGUGCCACUGCACUCCAGUCUGGAUGACAGAGUGAGACCCUGUCUCAAAAACAAAACAAAACAAAACAAAAAAAGUUUUCAGUGUUGCAUUUGGGCAGGGGACUCUGGUAUUUGGGAACACGUUGGUGUUUAUAAAAUAGCUCUUAUGGUAGGAUCCUUCUGUAGAUGAUUACGUAUUUUAACAUCCUGUCUUGUAUGUUAUUUCUGACUUGCUACUCUGUGUGCAAUCACUUUUAUUGUAAACGUCAACAUUCCCAUAUUUUCAGUAUCUUUCUGUGAUAUGUAAUCAUCUGGAUUCUUAAUUAAUCUCAGUCAUAUUUUGGGUUUUUUUUCUUCUCUUAUAAUUAAAAAAAAUAUAUAGUACUUCAGUUCCAAGAAAAGAUGUCCAUGAAAUUACUAGUGACACUGCACCAAAGCCUGAUGCUGUUUUAAAGCAAGCCUUUGAACAGGCACUUGAAUUUCACAAAAGUAGAACUAUUCCUGCUAACUGGAAGACUGAAUUGAAAGAAGAUAGCUCUAGCAGUGAAGCAGAGGAAGAAGAGGAGGAGGAAGAUGAUG